UGGCAUCUGAUCUGCAAACCAAAAGUCAGGAACUUCUUCUCUUCCACAUUGGACCUGGAUACAUUUGAAGUAUUAUAUGAGCUAGUCUACAAGUAUCAAACUGUUUCCAAGAUAAUUCACUAUGGCUGCUUAAAUAACAGUGCAGAAGUUAUUUGGAACUUUUCUUUUUCUUGAGAUGUGAAACUCAAGCUUCUGAUGUAAGAUCAGGCAUCAAAAAGAAAAUGGCAGCCAUCAUCAUCUCUCUCUCUGUCUUACAGUUUCACACAGACCGACAAACUGUACACCCAAGAAAAUCUUGAUUUUAUAUGAGACUAAUUUUGAUCCUUAAGAUUGAUUCAAAGACACCUGCUCAAGAUGCAACUUCAACAACCAAAGGGAAGUCAGAUCUGAAAUAAUGUGGUAAUAAUCCAUUCAUCAAGUUUUUUUUUCCUUUUCUUUUUUAAUUUGC
rnacentral:lncRNA from 1 species